AGGUGGCAGUGUGCACAUUUAAUGUUGGUGUGUAGCAUAAAAACUAAAGAAGAAGAACAAAGCAACAAGCUGCUGAACUUCUACUCAGUCUGUCCUCAGUCUACAACAGGGUCUCCUCUCAGUUGGACAUAUCCAAAAUACGUCACUUACAACAAGGAGUCAGACGCCUUAACCACCUGAACUGGCUCAUGUUGAUGUGGAGAAGCAGCAGCUCUACUCUUAGCAGCUCCCAGGAGAAACCGCACCAGUGCACCCAGCAGGAAAAUGGCUCUGGGAGUACAUAUUACACGGGAGAGAAGCAGGAAAUCCACUCGGGAGUCAAGCAGACUGAAGGUGAGAUGACCCAUGAACACGGCCUCUGAAGAGCCUGUGAAGGCACGAGCAACGCUUCAUUUCACAUAGAAAAUACAGCGACUCGGAGACGGCCGUAUAAGAGUUAAGCUGAACCUCUGAAGAAAGCAGCAUUUUAAAUUCACAAAUUAGUUUCAAUAAAGUUUAAGUGGAAAGCUCGAGCAGCU